AGUGAAGGGUACCCUACUUCGGUUGUUUCGAGAGGGAGGGAUAAGACGUAUGUGUUGUAUGGGUAUUUUUUGGAGGGUCUUUUGGGGAAUUCAGAGAGGGAGGGUUUUAGAAUUGAGGAGAUUAUGACACCAAAGGAGAGUGAGGGAGAGAAUGUUUGGCUUUAUGUGAUGAUUGGAUUUGGCAUGGUGUAUUUUGUGUAUUGGAGGUUUCAGAUGGGUCAGCUUGUGAAACAUAUGAACAAAAAGAUCAAUUGAUUAUUUCUAAGUUUUUAGUUUCUAUUUCAUGGUUAUAACUUUUUUUUGUUUUGUUUUGUUGUUAUUGUUAGGUUCAUAGAAUCAUAGGAGUGACAAUUGUAUCAUUUUGAUGUUUUAUACCAAACUCUUAUUAAGAGC